GACAGUCCAAUGAAACUUCUGCAGAGGUGAGGGGACAGGAGCUCAGGUCGAGGUGUGUUUCUGAAGGGACUCGGAGAUGUGAGAGAACUCACUAAGGAAAGGUGAUGAUGGAUGAGGCAUGGGGUGAGCUCAUCUGAACCAAGAGUUGCCUCACAGCAAAUGAGAUCUUCUGAUGAGUUGGGAUUUUCCACAGUCCCAACUACAGCACAUUCAGGGUCUUAUGGAAUCUUUCUCAUCGGGACUUCCUGGGAAGAUGGGAACAAAUGCCUAUUCACGUCAGAUAGGGCCCGGAUGACAGACAAGAGAGUUUACAGAACAAUUUGAACACUACACCGGACCUAUGGGAAGUGGAGAAGACAUAGUUAUUUCCAUUCAACGCACAAGCAAAGUGGAAAGAUGCUCAAGAAGUGUUUAGGGGACUGAUGUCAUACAGAAGAGUCCAGCUUCUCAGUCCACGGGCUGGCAGAGCACUUUAUAACAAGAUGGUUCAUCAUGUCAACCCCACCCAGCAGCACAAGCUUCUGGUGGUCUGCGUGAGGACCUGUCACCAGAACAUACAGCCAAGUUAAGACUGACCAUUCUUCACAGUGGGAAAAGACGUUGGGAGGCAAUAGGGACAAACGGGUGUGCGGCUCAGGGGAGAGACAGAGGCAGGAAGGGAGAUGGGAAGUACAAGCAUAGAGGUGUUGAGUAGUCUUCAUUUAUUAGACCUCAGCACCUCUCGCUCACCCCAGAGGGCAGUGGGAGCAAUGCCUGCAUGCCCGAUACAUUCCCAAUGCCUCUGAACGUCAGCUCAGAGGAUAGAGCUCACUGUGAAAACCAGCUGCCAGGCUGCUGUCUCCAGGUCUCCCUGGCUCUGCAGUCCCUGUCCUCUCGGAAAUACUGAGCUCAGGAGGAAGGAAUUCCCUCGGUACCUCUGUUGUUCCCUUCUCUUGUUUCCUAAGAGAACCUAGUAUUUCAGUGACUGCUUCCAAAGAGCUCCACUUGGAUGCCAGUAUCCUGCCAGAAAUUCUUCUGCACGUACCUUUAAUCAUGUGGCAAAUUGCCUUAUUAAUCACCAGGGACUCCAGUCUCAUUACUUAAUUAAACCAUCUCUUCUUGUGCUUCUUAUUAAAACCACGCGAGUUUUUAACUUC
rnacentral:lncRNA from 1 species